rnacentral:rRNA from 1 species
AUGGAAAAGGUGCCUUUCACAAAAAGGGCUCUGAAAAAUUUGUGUGGUAAAAUCAGCAGAGAGCAGGUAGAGGAUGAUGUGAGGAAAACGAUGGAGGUUUUUGCAGAUCUGGGUUCAAGAGAUCCACACUUCACGUAUCGUGUCCAGGCGGACCAGGAUGGGCGGAUAACGACUCUUAUGUGGGCAAAUGGGAGUAGCAGGCUGCAGUACACAUUCUUCGAAGAUGUUGUUACCUUCGAUACGACAUAUAGAACAAACCUAUACAACAUGCCAUUUGGUCUGUUUGUAGGUGUGAUAAUCAUUUCCAGUGCAUCAUCCUAUCUGGGGUUUUGGUCCGUAGUGAGAAGAUUGAGACAUUUGAGUGGGUUUUCACAGAAUUUGUUAGGAUGA